GUCCUCUUCGGAGUGACAUACAUUAAAUUUGGAACAAUACAGAGAAGAUUAGCAUGGCCCCUGCACAAGGAUGACACGCUGAAUUAGAGUGGACGACCUCCGGGUCGCAAUAUUUUUUU
rfam:Tulasnella calospora MTT 4182 unplaced genomic scaffold scaffold_199, whole genome shotgun sequence.